UGGGGAAUUUUGGACAAUGGGCGAAAGCCUGAUCCAGCAAUGCCGCGUGUGUGAAGAAGGCCUUCGGGUUGUAAAGCACUUUUGUCCGGAAAGAAAUCCUUGGCUCUAAUACAGUCGGGGGAUGACGGUACCGGAAGAAUAAGCACCGGCUAACUACGUGCCAGCAGCCGCGGUAAUACGUAGGGUGCAAGCGUUAAUCGGAAUUACUGGGCGUAAAGCGUGCGCAGGCGGUUUGCUAAGACCGAUGUGAAAUCCCCGGGCUCAACCUGGGAACUGCAUUGGUGACUGGCAGGCUAGAGUAUGGCAGAGGGGGGUAGAAUUCCACGUGUAGCAGUGAAAUGCGUAGAGAUGUGGAGGAAUACCGGUGGCGAAGGCAGCCCCCUGGGCCAAAUACUGACGCUCAUGCACGAAAGCGUGGGGAGCAAACAGGAUUAGAUACCCUGGUAGUCCACGCCCUAAACGAUGUCAACUAGUUGUUGGGGAUUCAUUUCCUUAGUAACGUAGCUAACGCGUGAAGUUGACCGCCUGGGGAGUACGGUCGCAAGAUUAAAACUCAAAUGAAUUGACGGGGUCAUAGCUG
rnacentral:rRNA from 1 species